rnacentral:rRNA from 1 species
CCUACGGGAGGCAGCAGUGGGGAAUAUUGGGCAAUGGGCGAAAGCCUGACCCAGCAACGCCGCGUGAAGGAAGAAGGCUUUCGGGUUGUAAACUUCUUUUCUCAGGGACGAAGCAAGUGACGGUACCUGAGGAAUAAGCCACGGCUAACUACGUGCCAGCAGCCGCGGUGAUCCGUAGGUGGCAAGCGUUCUCCGGAUUUACUGGGUGUAAAGGGCGGGUAGGCGGGACUGCAAGUCAGAUGUGAAAACCACGGGCUCAACCUGUGGCCUGCAUUUGAAACUGUAGUUCUUGAGUACUGGAGAGGCAGACGGAAUUCGUAGUGGAGCGGUGAAAUGCGUAGAUAUUAGGAGGAACACC